UGCUGGGAGGAUCGACAGAUUGAGAGCUCUUUCUUGAUUCUGUGGAUGGUGGUACAUGUCCGUUCUUAGUCGGUUAAUUCCGAUAACGAACGAGACCCUAGUCUACUAAAUAGGUGCGUGGUUUUCUGCACCUUUCACCCUUCUCAGAGGGACAAGCGGCUCCUAGCCGCACGAAACAGAGCAAUAACAGGUCUGUGAUGCCCUUAGAU
rnacentral:rRNA from 1 species